rnacentral:rRNA from 1 species
UACGUAGGGUGCAAGCGUUAAUCGGAAUUACUGGGCGUAAAGCGUGCGCAGGCGGUUCGCUAAGACAGAUGUGAAAUCCCUGGGCUUAACCUAGGAACUGCAUUCAUGACUGGUAAACUGGAGUACAGUAGAGGGUAGUGGAAUUUCCGGUGUAGCGGUGAAAUGCGUAGAGAUCGGAAGGAACACCAGUGGCGAAGGCGGCUACCUGGACUGAUACUGACACUGAGGCGCGAGAGCGUGGGGAGCAAACAGG